UACGUAGGGGGCGAGCGUUGUCCGGAAUUAUUGGGCGUAAAGCGCGUGUAGGCGGCUUUGCAAGUCGGGUGUGAAAGCCCUCAGCUCAACUGAGGAAGUGCGCCCCGAAACUGCAGAGCUUGAGUACCGGAGAGGGUGGCGGAAUUCCCCAAGUAGAGGUGAAAUUCGUAGAUAUGGGGAGGAACACCGGUGGCGAAGGCGGCCACCUGGACGGUCACUGACGCUGAGACGCGAAAGCGUGGGGAGCAAACAGG
rnacentral:rRNA from 1 species